rnacentral:rRNA from 1 species
CCUACGGGAGGCAGCAGUGGGGAAUAUUGCACAAUGGGGGAAACCCUGAUGCAGCGACGCCGCGUGAGUGAAGAAGUAAUUCGUUAUGUAAAGCUCUAUCAGCAGGGAAGAAAAUGACGGUACCUGAGUAAGAAGCCCCGGCUAACUACGUGCCAGCAGCCGCGGUAAUACGUAGGGGGCAAGCGUUAUCCGGAUUUACUGGGUGGAAAGGGAGCGUAGACGGCAGUGCAAGUCUGGAGGGAAAGGCGGGGGCUCAACCCCCGGACUGCUCUGGAAACUGUACGGCUGGAGUGCAGGAGAGGUAAGUGGAAUUCCUAGUGUAGCGGUGAAAUGCGUAGAUAUUAGGAGGAACACCAGUGGCGAAGGCGGCUUACUGGACUGUAACUGACGUUGAGGCUCGAAAGCGUGGGGAGCAAACAGGAUUAGAUACCCCUGUAGUC